UACGUAGGGUGCAAGCGUUAAUCGGAAUUACUGGGCGUAAAGCGUGCGCAGGCGGUUGUGCAAGACCGAUGUGAAAUCCCCGGGCUUAACCUGGGAACUGCAUUGGUGACUGCAUCGCUCGAGUAUGGCAGAGGGGGGUAGAAUUCCACGUGUAGCAGUGAAAUGCGUAGAGAUGUGGAGGAAUACCGAUGGCGAAGGCAGCCCCCUGGGUCAAUACUGACGCUCAUGCACGAAAGCGUGGGGAGCAAACAGG
rnacentral:rRNA from 1 species